UACGAAGGGGGCUAGCGUUGCUCGGAAUCACUGGGCGUAAAGGGUGCGUAGGCGGGUCUUUUAAGUCAGGGGUGAAAUCCUGGAGCUCAACUCCAGAACUGCCUUUGAUACUGAGGAUCUUGAGUUCGGGAGAGGUGAGUGGAACUGCGAGUGUAGAGGUGAAAAUUCGUAGAUAUUCGCAAGAACACCAGUGGCGAAGGCGGCUCACUGGCCCGAUACUGACGCUGAGGCACGGAA
rnacentral:rRNA from 1 species